GAUGAAGAACGUAGCGAAAUGCGAUAAGUAGUGUGAAUUGCAGAAUUCAGUGAAUCAUCGAAUAUUUGAACGCACAUUGCGCCCCUUGGUAUUCCAUGGGGCAUGCCUGUUCGAGCGUCAUUUGUACCUUCAAGCUUUGCUUGGUGUUGGGUGUUUGUCUCGCCUCUGCGUGUAGACUCGCCUCAAAACAAUUGGCAGCCGGCGUAUUGAUUUCGGAGCGCAGUACAUCUCGCGCUUUGCACUCAUAACGACGACGUCCAAAAGUACAUUUUUACACUCUUGACCUCGGAUCAGGUAGGGAUACCCGCUGAACUUAAGCAUAUCAAUAGCGGAGA
rnacentral:misc_RNA from 1 species